rnacentral:rRNA from 1 species
AGUGAACGCUGGCGGUAGGCCUAACACAUGCAAGUCGAACGGCAGCACAGUAAGCGCUUGCUCUUACGGGUGGCGAGUGGCGGACGGGUGAGGAAUACAUCGGAAUCUACUUUUUCGUGGGGGAUAACGUAGGGAAACUUACGCUAAUACCGCAUACGUCCUACGGGUGAAAGCAGGGGAUCUUCGGACCUUGCGCGAUUGAAUGAGCCGAUGUCGGAUUAGCUAGUUGGCGGGGUAAAGGCCCACCAAGGCGACGAUCCGUAGCUGGUCUGAGAGGAUGAUCAGCCACACUGGAACUGAGACACGGUCCAGACUCCUACGGGAGGCAGCAGUGGGGAAUAUUGGACAAAGGGCGAAAGCCUGAUCCAGCCAUACCGCGUGGGUGAAGAAGGCCUUCGGGUUGUAAAGCCCUUUUGUUGGGAAAGAAAAGCAGCAGGUUAAUACCCCGCUGUUCUGACGGUACCCAAAGAGUAAGCACCGGCUAACUUCGUG